rnacentral:rRNA from 1 species
CAGGCCUAACACAUGCAAGUCGAGCGGAGCGAGGGUGCUUGCACCUUAGCUUAGCGGCGGACGGGUGAGUAAUGCUUAGGAAUCUGCCUAUUAGUGGGGGACAACAUUCCGAAAGGAAUGCUAAUACCGCAUACGCCCUACGGGGGAAAGCAGGGGAUCUUCGGACCUUGCGCUAAUAGAUGAGCCUAAGUCGGAUUAGCUAGUUGGUGGGGUAAAGGCCUACCAAGGCGACGAUCUGUAGCGGGUCUGAGAGGAUGAUCCGCCACACUGGGACUGAGACACGGCCCAGACUCCUACGGGAGGCAGCAGUGGGGAAUAUUGGACAAUGGGCGGAAGCCUGAUCCAGCCAUGCCGCGUGUGUGAAGAAGGCCUUUUGGUUGUAAAGCACUUUAAGCGAGGAGGAGGCUCUUAAGGUUAAUACCCUUGAUGAGUGGACGUUACUCGCAGAAUAAGCACCGGCAACUCUG